rnacentral:lncRNA from 1 species
AAAUUCAAAAUAUGAAGGGCUUAUAUUCAGAAAGUGUUUAAACAAACCUUCUGAUAGGUUAAUUCCCCCCUGCCCCCCCUGUCAUCAUUUGUUUUGGCAAAACCAGUUUAUUGAAUUUGUUCAAACUUCAGAGAAUGAUCAGCCAACCUGAAAUGUGUUUUGUGACUAAUGAUUUACCAAAAGAAAUUUACUGUCUUCUUCCCAGGAGGCAUAUCAUUUAUCUGGAAGUUCACGAUGUGUAGCCACUGGAUAAUUUUCAAAGGCUCCCGGGCUCCGACCUUUG